AACGCGAAGAACCUUACCUGGGCUUGACAUGUUCGGUCUACCUGCAGAGAUGUGGGGUGCCUUUGGCGCCGUUCACAGGUGGUGCAUGGUUGUCGUCAGCUCGUGUCGUGAGAUGUUGGGUUAAGUCCCGCAACGAGCGCAACCCCUGUCCUUAGUUGAAUUUUCUAGGGAGACUGCCGGGCGAAACCCGGAGGAAGGUGGGGAUGACGUCAAGUCCGCAUGCCCUUUAUGUCCAGGGCUACACACACGCUACAAUGGCCGGUACAACGGGUUCCGACACGGCGACGUGAAGGCAAUCCCUUAAAGCCGGUCUCAGUUCGGAUUGCAGGCUGCAACUCGCCUGCAUGAAGUCGGAGUUGCUAGUAAACGCUGGUCAGCACACAGCGUUGAAUACGUUCCCGGGCCUUGUACACACCGGAGUA
rnacentral:rRNA from 1 species